AUUAAAUUUUUUUUUUUCUGCUCAGAUUGAACGCUGGCGGCAGGCCUAACACAUGCAAGUCGAGCGGUAGCACAGAGAGCUUGCUCUCGGGUGACGAGCGGCGGACGGGUGAGUAAUGUCUGGGAAACUGCCUGAUGGAGGGGGAUAACUACUGGAAACGGUAGCUAAUACCGCAUAAUGUCGCAAGACCAAAGUGGGGGACCUUCGGGCCUCAUGCCAUCAGAUGUGCCCAGAUGGGAUUAGCUAGUAGGUGGGGUAACGGCUCACCUAGGCGACGAUCCCUAGCUGGUCUGAGAGGAUGACCAGCCACACUGGAACUGAGACACGGUCCAGACUCCUACGGGAGGCAGCAGUGGGGAAUAUUGCACAAUGGGCGCAAGCCUGAUGCAGCCAUGCCGCGUGUGUGAAGAAGGCCUUCGGGUUGUAAAGCACUUUCAGCGGGGAGGAAGGCGGUGAGGUUAAUAACCUUGUCGAUUGACGUUACCCGCAGAAGAAGCACCGGCUAACUCCGUGCCAGCAGCCGCGGUAAUACGGAGGGUGCAAGCGUUAAUCGGAAUUACUGGGCGUAAAGCGCACGCAGGCGGUCUGUCAAGUCGGAUGUGAAAUCCCCGGGCUCAACCUGGGAACUGCAUUCGAAACUGGCAGGCUAGAGUCUUGUAGAGGGGGGUAGAAUUCCAGGUGUAGCGGUGAAAUGCGUAGAGAUCUGGAGGAAUACCGGUGGCGAAGGCGGCCCCCUGGACAAAGACUGACGCUCAGGUGCGAAAGCGUGGGGAGCAAACAGGAUUAGAUACCCUGGUAGUCCACGCCGUAAACGAUGUCGAUUUGGAGGUUGUGCCCUUGAGGCGUGGCUUCCGGAGCUAACGCGUUAAAUCGACCGCCC
rnacentral:rRNA from 1 species